rnacentral:rRNA from 2 species
CCCAGACAGCCAGGAUGUUGGCUUAGAAGCAGCCAUCAUUUAAAGAAAGCGUAAUAGCUCACUGGUCGAGUCGGCCUGCGCGGAAGAUGUAACGGGGCUAAACCAUGCACCGAAGCUGCGGCAGCGACGCUGAUGCGUUGUUGGGUAGGGGAGCGUUCUGUAAGCCUGCGAAGGUGGCCUGUGAGGGUUGCUGGAGGUAUCAGAAGUGCGAAUGCUGACAUAAGUAACGAUAAAGCGGGUGAAAAGCCCGCUCGCCGGAAGACCAAGGGUUCCUGUCCAACGUUAAUCGGGGCAGGGUGAGUCGACCCCUAAGGC